UAAGGGGAUGGAGCCACUUUAACAACAUGGUGGUAGCACAGAACUUCCUGCUGCAGCUGCCUGCAGCCUCGCCUUGGUUCUGCAGUAGUGGUGUUCGCCGGCGGCUGCAGAUCCGAAAUGCCUGAGAGCUUAAAAAAAUGCGCGUGGGCUUCUGCCCAAACUAGUUAAAUGGGAAUCACUGGCGAUUCUCAUUUCAGAGAACUGGUGGUUUUUUAAGUACCUCAGGGAAGUUUAGUGUCUGCUCAGUUGAGAAUCAGCGUUCUACCCGGAAGGGCACUCGCAGCCUGGUCUGGUACGGACAUGGACAGGAGAGCGUCCUGUCUUCUCCAGGAUCUUUGUGGGUAGGGGUGGGGCUGGUGGUUAUUCCCUGCAAGCUGUGCUUAUCUAGGGAGCGUCCCUUGGAGGGUUUGUGGUCUGGGAGGGCUGCUGGCACCACUUGCUGAAGGUGGGGGCGGGUCCACCAGUGGCCUCGGGCACUUGGGUAGCACACAGUGGUCUGGAGAGCAGGUGGUGCUUCUCUCAGGUUUUCAUGAGAGGCUGUCUUUUCAGCUGUAAUGGUGGCUAUCCUGCUGAAGCUUGGAACUUCUGGACAAGAAAAGGCCUGGUUUCUGGUGGCCUCUAUGAAUCCCAUGUAGGGUGCAGACCGUACUCCAUUCCUCCCUGUGAGCACCACGUCAACGGCUCCCGGCCUCCAUGCACAGGGGAGGGAGACACCCCCAAGUGUAGCAAGAUCUGCGAGCCUGGCUACAGUCCGACCUACAAACAGGACAAGCACUACGGAUACAAUUCCUACAGCGUCUCCAAUAGCGAGAGGGACAUCAUGGCCGAGAUCUACAAAAACGGCCCCGUGGAGGGAGCUUUCUCUGUGUAUUCGGACUUCCUGCUAUACAAGUCAGGAGUGUACCAACACGUCACCGGAGAGAUGAUGGGCGGCCAUGCCAUCCGCAUCCUGGGCUGGGGAGUGGAGAACGGCACACCCUACUGGCUGGUUGCCAACUCCUGGAACACUGACUGGGGUGACAAUGGCUUCUUUAAAAUACUCAGAGGACAGGAUCACUGUGGAAUCGAAUCAGAAGUGGUGGCUGGAAUUCCACGCACCGAUCAGUACUGGGAAAAGAUCUAAUCUGCCAUGGGCCUGUCCUGCCAGUCCUGGGGGAGUUUUCCCUGAAUACAGUCGGAUGGGGGCGAGAUGGGGGUAGAAAUGCAUUUUAUUCUUUGAGUUUACAUAAGAUACAAGUUUUAGACAGGGUCUGAAGGACUGGAUUGGCCAAACAUCAGCCAUCAGACCUGUUUUCCAAGGAGACACAUCCCAAGUCCUGGCUACAUCCCAGCCUGUGGUUACACUGCAGACAGUUAGGCCAUGUGAGCCACUGCUGCCAGCACACAGCAUCCUCCCCCUGUAGACUAGUGCUGUAGGGAGUACCUGCUCCCCCAGCUAACUGUGGCCCCCUCCCCGAUCCAUCCAUCUCCAGGGAGCAAGACAGAGACCCAGGAAUGGAAAGCAGAGUUCCUAACAGGAUGUUCCUAACAGGAGUUCCUAACAGUUCCCCCAUCAGUUCCCCCAGUACUUCUAAGCAAGGAGCUUUCCACAUUUGCUACAAGAUCAGAGGAGAGAUGGUGUUGGGAGCCCUUUGGAGAACGCCACAGUCUCCCAGGCCCCCUGCAUCUACCGAGUUUGCAAUGUCACAUCCUCUCUGAUCUUGUGCUCAGCAUGAUUCUUUAAUAGAAGUCUUCUUUUUUCUGCACUCUGCUAAUCAUGUGGCUGAGCGAGUCGAACAGCUGGGAGACCUGUGCUAGUUUUACAGAGUGCCUCCUAAUGACGCGGCUCAAAACGAAACCAAGUGGUCAGGACUUGUUUCUGACCCACUGAUCUCUACUAUCACAAGGAAACUAGUUUAGGAGAAACCAGCUUUUACCGUGUUUUAAAAACUACAGCUUCACCCUAUCAAGUUAACAAGGAAUGCCUGUGCCAAUAAAAGGUUUCUCCUUCAACUUGAAGUCAACUCUGAUGGGAUCUCAGAUCCUUUGUCGCUGCCUAUAGACUUAUAGCUGCUGACUAUCCUUGUCCCUGCAGAGAAUCACGUCCUGGAACUGCAUGUUCUUGCAACUCUUGGGACCUCAUCUUAACUUCCUGCUGCCCCAGCCAUGUUUUCAACCAUGGCAUCCCCCCCCCCUUAGUUCCCUGUCAUCCUCAUCAACCUUCUCUGUAAGUCCUUGGUAAGCUUGCCCUUGCUUAAGAACAACAUAGCUGUGCUCUGUUUUUGUUGUUGCUGAGACAGAAUCUC
rnacentral:sRNA from 1 species